UACGUAGGGGCCAAGCGUUGUCCGGAUUUAUUGGGCGUAAAGAGCUCGUAGGCGGUUCGCUAAGUUGAAUGUGAAAACUCUGGGCUUAACCCAGAGCCUGCAUUCAAUACUGGCGGGCUAGAGUUCUGGAGGGGAUAGCGGAAUUCCUGGUGUAGCGGUGAAAUGCGUAGAUAUCAGGAGGAACACCGGUGGCGAAGGCGGCUAUCUGGACAGAGUCUGACGCUGAGGCGCGAAAGCUAGGGGAGCAAACAGG
rnacentral:rRNA from 1 species